AGCUCCAAUAGCGUGUAUUAAAGUUGUUGCAGUUAAAAAGCUCGUAGUUGGACUUCUGAUGUGAAAGAUCGGUCCACCGCAAGGUGAGCACUGAUUCUUCGCGUCUUCCUCUCGUAGUUGUUUCGCGCACUUAGUUGGGUGCGAGAUGAAUAUGGGACCUUUGCUUUGAAAAAAUUAGAGUGUUCAAAGCAGGCUAUCGCUUGAAUACAUUAGCAUGGAAUAAUAGAAUAGGACUUUGGUUCUAUUUUGUUGGUUUCUAGGACCGAGGUAAUGAUUAAUAGGGGCAGUUGGGGGCAUUAGUAUUUAAUUGUCAGAGGUGAAAUUCUUGGAUUUAUGAAAGACUAACUACUGCGAAAGCAUUUGCCAAGGAUGUUU
rnacentral:rRNA from 1 species